CCCUUAGAUGUUCUGGGCCGCACGCGCGCUACACUGAUGCAUUCAACGAGUUUAUAACCUUGGCCGAGAGGCCUGGGUAAUCUUCUAAACGUGCAUCGUGAUAGGGAUAGAUUAUUGCAAUUAUUAAUCUUGAACGAGGAAUUCCUAGUAAACGCAAGUCAUCAGCUUGCAUUGAUUACGUCCCUGCCCUUUGUACACACCGCCCGUCGCACCUACCGAUUGAAUGGUCCGGUGAAAUUUCGGGAUUAGUCAUUUGUGAUUCAUUUCGCUUUUGAUUGAGAACUUACUUGAACCUUAUCAUUUAGAGGAAGGUGAANUCGUANCA
rnacentral:rRNA from 1 species